rnacentral:rRNA from 1 species
GACGAACGCUGGCGGCGUGCCUAAUACAUGCAGGUAGAACGCACAGUUUAUACCGUAGCUUGCUACACCAUAGACUGUGAGUUGCGAACGGGUGAGUAACGCGUAGGUAACCUGCCUGGUAGCGGGGGAUAACUAUUGGAAACGAUAGCUAAUACCGCAUAAUAUUAAUUAUUGCAUGAUAAUUAAUUGAAAGGUGCAAUUGCACCACUACCAGAUGGACCUGCGUUGUAUUAGCUAGUAGGUGAGGUAACGGCUCACCUAGGCGACGAUACAUAGCCGACCUGAGAGGGUGAUCGGCCACACUGGGACUGAGACACGGCCCAGACUCCUACGGGAGGCAGCAGUAGGGAAUCUUCGGCAAUGGACGAAAGUCUGACCGAGCAACGCCGCGUGAGUGAAGAAGGUUUUCGGAUCGUAAAGCUCUGUUGUAAGAGAAGAACGGGUGUGAGAGUGGAAAGUUCACAAUGUGACGGUAUCUUACCAGAAAGAGACGGCUAACUACGUG